AAGAAAAGAAAAGAAAGAAAAGAAAGAAUUAUCCUCCAGCUGAGUGUCUCAUUGCUGUUGAUUGGCAGAAAAUACCUGCAGCACUUCAGACCAGGUAGAAGAGAACAGAACCAGGUAGAACAGAACAGAACCAGGUAGAAGAGAACAGAACCAGGUAGAACAGAACAGAACCAGGUAGAAGAGAACAGAACCAGGUAGAAGAGAACAGAACCAGGUAGAAGAGGAGGAGAACCAGGUAGAAGAG